UUUCUCCUCUCUUUCUUUCCUUUAGUGUAGUAUGAGUUCAGUACUUCUCCAACAAGUGCAAGACUUUAAUUUUUUAUUUUUUUUUUUCCCUUUCUGAAAAUUCUGGCCACUCCAGUCAGUCAUCGGAGAGUAUCAAGGCAGCUGGUUCCAAACUAAAAGUUCUUCCCUGGACAUUAGAAAGGGAGGCUACUUCAUCAUUUGAUGGUGAUUCAGAGGCAUCUUUUAAAGGUGUAAGUUCCAGGAAGAAUGUGAAAACAAAACAGUGUACCCAUAUUGUCAGAAAAAUGAGACAUUCUGCUAUGGGUUCACUUCUGUUCCUUGCAGAGGUCAAACCAGUGUCUGCUUGAAAAAUUCAUGAUCCAGAAAAGUGCAGGUGAGUGUCUGCAAGACUCAAUGAUGAUGAAAGGAGAAAAUCCUGGCAGUGAAGUAGAGGCUGGAGAAGGAAUUAGAGAAAUGAGGAGCAUAUCUGAAACACAUUUCCAGUUGUCUGCAGUCCCUGACCCCAGUUGGCUACAGUUAUCAAUUUCUUCAGCACAAGACCAUUUAGUCAAAAUGUCAAAUGUCAUAGUGUUUUGGUUUUUUUUUUCUUGAACUAUUGUUAUCUUCAUCAUGCUUUUAGAAUAAUUUAAAAUUAAAUAUUCACAAAUUUUUUAGAAAGACUGUUGAUCAGUUUUGUGUUUUGAUCUCUAGAUGUAACACAUUGCAGCACUACUACGUAUUAAAAACUACCCUGAAUUUUUAUCACCAUCAAUCUGUCUCUUCAAAGUUACCUGGAUAGCUCUGAAAUUAAUAAUGGCUCGAGUAUUUCAACUAAUUCUUGUUUCCAAUCUGCUCCAGGG
rnacentral:lncRNA from 1 species